GUGCAACACUGAGCAAGAAUCACUGGUGAUGUCAACCCUCUGUCAUCUGAGCUGCAUCUCAUGUGAGGGACAGAGCCUUCCCAAACCCAGAAGCUGGUGGCAUCAAGCUCAUGGGAUGCUUAAGUCUAUACCACGAAUUUCCUUAUCAGCAAGCUGGAAAAACUCAAAGCUACUGCGUGCUCAGUGCAUGGGGAGAGCAGCCUUUUUCUUCGUUUUUAAGCAGUCAGUGGCUGUGGCUGAAUAGACAUGAGGCAUUGCCCCCUGCUGCAAUCCACAAAGAUGGACUAAUUCCAGAGGAAGUCAAGCAAAGACUGUGUCACAACUAUUAA
rnacentral:lncRNA from 1 species